rnacentral:tRNA from 1 species
GUCUGGAUAGCUCAAAUGGCAGAGCAUUGGACUGAAAAUCCAAAUGUGAUGGUUCAAUUCCAUCUCCAGGCA